GGUGAAGGAGAAGGCUGGCCGGGAGGAGCUGGCUGGGGAGGAGGUCCCCCAGGAGAAGGCGGAAGACAAGCCCAGCACCGAUCUCUCAGCCCCGGUGAAUGGCGAGGCCACGUCGCAGAAGGGGGAGAGUGCGGAGGACAAGGAGCACGAGGAGGGUCGGGACUCGGAGGAGGGGCCGAGGUGUGGUUCCUCUGAAGACCUGCACGACAGCCUACGGGAGGGCCCCGACCUGGACAGGCCUGGGAGUGACCGGCAGGAGCGCGAGAGGGCACGGGGGGACUCGGAGGCCCUGGACGAGGAGAGCUGAGCCGUGGGCAGCCAGGCCCAGCCCCCGCCCGAGCUCAGGCUGCCCCUCCUUCCCCGGCUCACUGGAGAGCAGAGUGGAGAACUGUGGGGAACGCCGCGCUGUUUCUAUUUGUUCCCUUGGGUUUUUUUUUUCUGCCUAAUUUCUGUGAUUUCCAACCACCAUGAAAUGACUAUAAAGGGUUUUUUAAUGAAAAAAGAAAUCACAUU